GACGAACGCUGGCGGCGUGCCUAACACAUGCAAGUCUACGAGAAAGGGGUAGCAAUAUCCCGUGUAAAGUGGCGCAAGGGUGAGUAAUAUGUAAGUAAUCUACCCAUGGGUUCGGAAUAACUCGUCGAAAGACGGGAUAAUACCGUAUAAUGCAGCGGCAUCGCAUGAUGAUGUUGUUAAAGCUCUAGAAGCGCCUAUGGAUGAGCUUGCAUCCGAUUAGCUAGUUGGUGGGGUAAUUGCCUACCAAGGCUACAAUCGGUAGCUGGUCUGAGAGGAUGAUCAGCCACACUGGAACUGAGACACGGUCCAGACUCCUACGGGAGGCUG
rnacentral:rRNA from 1 species